CCCCUUUACUUGAGUCCACUUCAGUCCUAUUUGUUGACCAUAUAACUUAAUAUACUUAGUUUAAUACAUACUUUAGGUAUGAAUAGCUAACAAUAGAACAUACAGAAAAUCAAAAGCAUUUAUAGUUUUGUAUAGUUAUUUAUUUACAAAAUGUACCCGUGUAUACAUUGACACAUUAAAAUCAAAUAUACACAAAUAUCUAGAGAUUAAGUCCCAUAACCCCAGCAUGUGGUUCUCAUACCCCCAUGGGGUAUGAAUACCCAUUAUUAAUAACCCCUGGUUAAAAAAAUCAUCUGUAUCCGUUAACCAUCGGGGUACACCACAUCUCCUAGGGAAGAAAUCGCUCCCUUAUGGAAAUAAGUGAUAACACUAAUGGUCAUUGUAAAAGCAAUGAUGUAUCAUCACCUGGUUGUUUUUCUUAUCCCCGUGUUGAUGAUAAUGAAUCUUUUCAACGGGACUUCAGCCUAUCAGUAAUGUUAAAUUGCUUACCAAUAUAACUGGGAUUCUAUUGGGGAAAAACAUUACAUUACACGCACCACCGGCCUAAGGUCCAAUGAUUGGGGAGAAUCUACAGAAGAAGGUCUACAAUACUUCGGAGUUUUAUUGUUUAUAACUUUUCUGAAUAUGGGUUCCUUGGCACAUAUUCGCUAACUGGAUCAAACACAUGAAUAAGUGUGAUAAGCAGAAAAGAGGGAAAUUUUUUUUUUUUUUUUCAAACACCGUCAAAGACAUUUUCGAGCAAUUAAAAUCCACUGACUAUGAAACGCCGAAGCAGUGUAACAAGUAACUAAUGGAAGACCCAACAGAUGUCGCACCGUAAGGACAUACGGGAACAAGGAGGAGUGGGACACAAAAAGUUAAGUAUAUCUUAGUUAGCCAGACCACUGAGCUGACUAACAGCUCUCUUAGGCUGGCCCAAAGGAUUAGAUAUUUUUACGCGCCUAGGAACCAAUUGGUUACCUAGCAACGGGACCUACAGCUUAUUGUGGGAUCCGAACCACAUCAUAUCGAGAAAUGAAUUUCUAAUCAACAGAAAUACACUUCCCUGAUUCCAUGUUAGCAGAGUGGGGAAUCGAACUCGCGACUACCAAAUCGAUGGGCGAGCACGUUCACCACUCGGCCAACGAGGAUCUGGAGUGAAAAGCAGGCAUUUUUCUUGAGCAUACAAUAAAGUAUCCAUAUUCCAAUAUCGUUAAGAAAGUGGUCGUCAAGAUUUUGUUGUUGACGGUAGGGUUUCUAUGUAAAAUGUGCAGUUAAGGAAAUAUGCGGAAUAAAUAUGAGAAUAUAAGGGAUUCGGAAGUCACAUCUUAGCUUGUUUAUCUUCUCCAAGUUCCUCAACAAGGCGACUGGAUCUCUCUUCCUCAAUUUAACUCUGUGAUGGAGAGAAGAAAACCAGUAGGCGUGUGAGAGAGAGAGAGAGAGAGAGAGAGAAUUAAAAAGGACUUGUUUGACAUAAGUUUUCAGGUUUAUAGGGAACGACUGAGUAGUUAAUACCGUUACAAUUAUGAAAAGUCGAUUUUCGAAGAUACCGGUUAUAAAGAUAAUAUUUCUUUCGAUCCCGACAGAAGUUUCACUCAGAAAUUAUUUUGGAAUCGAUUUUUUGAAAUCCAGAUUUGAGAAUUUUUUUUGUUUAUAAUUACCAUUAAUGAACCAUUAUGGAAAUCAACAAAAUAAUUUUCAUCGUGUAAAUUUGAUUUUCGUUAAAUUUUUUCUCUUUUAUACAUCGGUAUUCGUCUGCAAAAUCUGUUUUGGGCCAGGCGAGGUUAUUUUUGGAGACUCAAAUGAAGACGCUAGUUUCCUUUAAUAAGCGAGUUUGUGUCGACGGACUAUUGAAAUUAUGCUUUUCCAGGGUCCUUGCGCAGCGCCCUUGUCUAGUGACGUCAUCGACUGCUGAUUUUCGGUCAUGUAAAAUCUUCCUUCAUUUUGACAGUUGGGUGGUAGACGUUUCUUUCAGUACGAUGUGUGGUUCGGCGGUUGUCCAUUUCGGUUCAUCUGCUCCAACGUAAUUAAAGCUGAGUCCCAUUGGAAGGUGUGAUUUUUCUAUUUUAUUUGACGUCAACUUCGUUUAUUUUCAAGACUGCUUUCGACGCCAUGGGUUGGUGUCAGUGACGGCCAGUGAGGCAGUAACUUUCUUUUGUUCCAGGCCGACUCGUACUUUUCCCGUCUCGCUGUCUACAUGUGGUCCUUACGGAUUGAUUUAAGAUAAGUAUUUAGUUUAUUGGCGGCGGUCUUUUUUAUUUAUUAUUUUUUUUCUUCAUGGAUAAGCUUGUGCCAUUUGAGUAAGAGUUUUACCUUGACCGCUCCGUAGAUCUCUUUAAUACAUUGUGAUAAAAAUCUAGGAUCAAUAUUUUUAUUUAUUUUUAGUGUAUUUUUUCUUUAUCAGAUCUUGCCGAGGACCUGCGUGUUGGAAUGUGGUUUAUUACAGGAAUGACGUUAUGAUGAAUAUUCAAGACCGGUUGAAAAAAAGAAAAAGAAGAAAAACUGCCGCCAUCCUGAGAUUCUUCGGAACUUCAAUAUCCAAUUUUUUUUUUCUACUUUUCCUCCACCCCAUCGGGGGCGGUGCCCCUGAUCGGGUGGAGGGGCUCCUAAGGGCUUGCACAGUAGGCGUGUUGGCCUACUGUGCUAGUCCUUGGAGUAAUCGUUUUUUUCAGUUUCAGAUUACCGUGAGUUUUACCUUUACUAUUAAUAUUAAUUUUUUAGACUGUUAAUCUAGUAAUUUCAAUAAUUUGUGUCGCUGUUAAUGUUUUGUACAUUUAAUGGUUUGUAUAAGUCUGAUGGUUUGUAUAAAACUGGUCUGUGAGUUCCUGUCUUAACAUUAGUAAGCCAUAUAUAAAGUAUGUUUUUAUGGUAUUAAGUUUAUUAGCAUAAUCCACUCUGGUUUUAGUUACUUUUCACCCUUAUACUGUGAUUUCAAAAGAUAUAUUUUUUAUAUUAUUAGUUUUGGUAAAUUUUUCAUAAAUUUUUCAUAGUA